rnacentral:tRNA from 1 species
GCCCCUGUAGCUCAGCAGGAUAGAGCACAGGUUUCCUAAACCUGGGGUCACAGGUUCGAAUCCUGUCAGGGGUA